CACGUAGGGUGCGAGCGUUGUCCGGAAUUAUUGGGCGUAAAGAGCUCGUAGGCGGUGUGUCGCGUCGGCCGUGAAAACCUGCAGCUUAACUGUGGGCUUGCGGUCGAUACGGGCAUCACUGGAGUUCGGCAGGGGAGACUGGAAUUCCUGGUGUAGCGGUGAAAUGCGCAGAUAUCAGGAGGAACACCGGUGGCGAAGGCGGCUGCCUGGCCCAAUACUGACACUCAGGUGCGACAGCGUGGGGAGCAAACAGG
rnacentral:rRNA from 1 species